rnacentral:rRNA from 1 species
CGACGAAUCUUCCGCAAUGGGCGAAAGCCUGACGGAGCAAUGCCGCGUGCGGGACGAAGCCCUUCGGGGUGUAAACCGCUGUCAGGGUUUAGCAACACAAAUGAGCAAACCCAAAGGAAGGGUCGGCUAACUCUGUGCCAGCAGCCGCGGUAAUACAGAGGACCCGAGCGCUACGCGGAUUAACUGGGCUUAAAGGGUGCGUAGGCGGAGACUUAAGUGUCUUGUGAAAUCCCACGGCUCAACCGUGGAACCGCAGGGCAUACUGGGUCUCUUGAGGAUGGUAAGCGCCGCCGGAACUGUAGGUGUAGCGGUGAAAUGCGUAGAUAUCUACAGGAACGCCGAUGGUGAAGACGGGCGGCUAGGCCAUUUCUGACGCUGAGGCACGAAAGCGUGGGGAUCAAACAGG